GGGGAAUCUUGCGCAAUGGCCGAAAGGCUGACGCAGCGACGCCGCGUGGGGGAGGAAGGGCUUCGGCUCGUAAACCCCUGUUGCCCGGGGCGAACAUCCCUUUUCGAGGGGACUGACGGUACCGGGUGAGGAAGCACCGGCUAACUCCGUGCCAGCAGCCGCGGUAAUACGGAGGGUGCGAGCGUUGUCCGGAAUCACUGGGCGUAAAGGGCGCGUAGGCGGCCGAGCAAGGUCGCGGUGAAAGCCCGGGGCUCAACCCCGGGUCGGCCGUGGCAACUACUCGGCUCGAGCACUGUAGGGGCGGGUGGAAUUCCGGGUGUAGCGGUGGAAUGCGUAGAGAUCCGGAAGAACACCGGUGGCGAAGGCGGCCCGCUGGGCAGGAAGGCCUCGUAAGAGGCCGGCUGACGCUGAGGCGCGACAGCGUGGGGAGCAAAC
rnacentral:rRNA from 1 species